rnacentral:lncRNA from 1 species
AUGCAAUAUAUAACAGAAUGUCAACAAAACAAUCAUGGACCUCGAUGUCGAGUGGUGAAUGAAAUGGAUGCAUUGUUGAUUUUUAUUGAGAAUGUGUUCCCAAACCCUAUAACUUCAAAGCUAGCCAUAGAGGGUUUGAACAGCCUAGGUGUGGAGACCAUAGAUGACCUACAGUUUUUGAAAGAUGAUGAUCUAGGUGGCUUUCUGAGACCGAUUGAAGCAAGAAAACUAAUAGCCCAAAUCCCAAAUAUUGCCUCCACUCUGCAAAACACUGCCAAUGAUUUGUCUGCUGAAUAUAAUUCUGAUGCAUCAGGUUCACCUGCUCCUGGAUGCUCAGUUUCACCAUCCAGCUCUUCAAGUGGAAGACGUGACAGUAGCUGUGAAACUUCGUUUUAUGACCAUGACUGGCAUUAUAGUUUUGAUGUUCCAUGGCAAAAAAUGCCAGCAAGUUUUAUGGGAAAUUUGCAUAAUGGCGAAAGGCCAAGUUGCUCUGAGAGAAGACAGUUGGUCCGCAUUGUUGCUUCUGAGAUCCUGGAAGUCAGCAAAUGUCCAGAAAAAAAACAUGUAUCAGAAAUAGCCCGACAAAUGGUGAUUGCAUACCCAAAGUCUUUCAGAGAUGAGAUUAAUUCCCAGGUUGUAGGAAGUGGAUAUGAUUCUCUCCUCAAACAACUGGUGUGUAGAAUUGACAAUUUGAAAAGAGCAAAAGCUAUUAGUAUACCACUUUGUGGUACUCUAGAAGUAUCAACAAAGAAAUGA